GGUACAUUGCACUUGAUCUCGCUAAUAUAGUGAACAGUGCUCAAUGUACGGACGCUUACAAUGCGGUUGGUUCCAAUCCACGCUGCAACUGCUAUCGACAACUCCACUACAGCGAUACUGACGAUCUGGAUGAUGACGAAACACUGCUCAGUCUUAUGUCGUGUUCAGAAACAAAGCAUUUCCCGGCAAUAGUGAGCGCAAUGGCCAUCCUAUCAGCCAUCGCUUAUCUCGUAUGCCAGGCGACGUGCUUUGUGUAUGCUGCUAAAUUAUGGGGAUCUUUGAAUACGGCUAAAGACGAUGAGAACAUUUUUCACGAGACCACAAGUCAACAGGUUUUGCUCAAUGAGCAUCCAAUAUAACGUAUCGUUUAUUAAUGUAUUUGCACCACCCUAGCGUCAUGCACAAGGCUUUGAAAUAUCCUGCUUGCAAUAUCUUGCUAUGAUUGUAGAGACCGUACCAAAAUAUAACCACGACCAGAAUUAUUGUAACUGGAUAAUUUAAUGUUAUUCUUCAUUACCCCGUUAUGUAUAAACUUUAUAGUAUGGAAUGGUAAGAGUUGUAGCUAUAUACCAACCGUGUAAAGGAACAUAUAUUGAGUGUCUUAAACUCUAUA
rnacentral:lncRNA from 1 species